rnacentral:rRNA from 1 species
GCUUAGGGCCAUACCACCCUGAAUGCCCCAGAUCUCGUCUGAUCUCGGAAGCUAAGCAGGGUCAGCCCUGGUUAGUACUUGGGUGGGAGACCACCUGGGAAUCCCAGGUGCUGUAAGCU